AAAGGACUUGCCAACCUCUUCCCCCGAGGCAGCUCUGCAGACGAGGACCUGCUACCACUGACUCCCCGGCAACGGUCAGACUUGUCCCGACGUGGGUUUUGGACGUGAGAAGCGAAUGGGCACUACACAGGUGCCAACACUCAGCAGCCACUGUUCUCUAUGUUCUGUGUGCGGCUCACCUUGCUGCCUGCCCCUCCGCCUGCCCCCCGUCUUCCAGGAUCUCUUCAAACUGUCGGCUCCAGCCCAGCGGGACUGUGGACACGCGCAGCACCCCUGUGCACCGUGGGUGUCCAGCUAAGCCCCCAGGAGAUGUGGGAGGCUGUGCAGCAGGCAGACUUGGAAGGACAGAAGCCACCCUUUCCCCUCCGCGAGCCGGUCUGCAGACACCUGCUAUGAAGGACUUGGAGCGUUUCCUGAACGAGACAGGCUGCUGUGUGGUGGGGGCACGGAGCGGAUGCAGGCCUUUUGCAAACAUCUU